CCUACGGGUGGCUGCAGUGAGGAAUAUUGGUCAAUGGGCGGGAGCCUGAACCAGCCAAGUCGCGUGAGGGAAGAAGGUACUGCGUAUUGUAAACCUCUUUUGCCAGGGGACAAAGGCGGGGACGAGUGGCCGGAAGAGGGUACCUGAAGAAAAAGCAUCGGCUAACUCCGUGCCAGCAGCCGCGGUAAUACGGAGGAUGCGAGCGUUAUCCGGAUUUAUUGGGUUUAAAGGGUGCGCAGGCGGGGUGUCAAGUCAGCGGUAAAAUGUCGGGGCUCAACCCCGGCCGGCCGUUGAAACUGGGGGGCUUGAGUGGGCGAGAAGUAGGCGGAAUGCGUGGUGUAGCGGUGAAAUGCAUAGAUAUCACGAAGAACCCCGAUUGCGAAGGCAGCAUACCGGCGCCAUACUGACGCUGAGGCACGAAAGUGCGGGGAUCGAACAGGAUUAGAUACCCGUGUAGUC
rnacentral:rRNA from 1 species